rnacentral:rRNA from 1 species
CCUACGGGGGGCUGCAGUGAGGAAUAUUGGUCAAUGGACGAGAGUCUGAACCAGCCAAGUAGCGUGAAGGAUGACUGCCCUAUGGGUUGUAAACUUCUUUUAUAUGGGAAUAAAAUGUUCCACGUGUGGGAUUUUGUAUGUACCAUAUGAAUAAGGAUCGGCUAACUCCGUGCCAGCAGCCGCGGUAAUACGGAGGAUCCGAGCGUUAUCCGGAUUUAUUGGGUUUAAAGGGAGCGUAGGUGGAUUGUUAAGUCAGUUGUGAAAGUUUGCGGCUCAACCGUAAAAUUGCAGUUGAAACUGGCAGUCUUGAGUACAGUAGAGGUGGGCGGAAUUCGUGGUGUAGCGGUGAAAUGCUUAGAUAUCACGAAGAACUCCGAUUGCGAAGGCAGUUCACUGGACUGCAACUGACACUGAGGCUCGAAAGUGUGGGUAUCAAACAGGGUUAGAUACCCGAGUAGUC